GACGAACGCUGGCGGCAUGCCUAAUACAUGCAAGUCGAGCGAACAGAUGAAGUGCUUGCACUUCUGACGUUAGCGGCGAACGGGUGAGUAACACGUAAGGAAUCUACCUAUAAGCGGGGGAUAACAUUCGGAAACGGGUGCUAAUACCGCAUAAUAUCUUCUUCCGCAUGGAAGAAGAUUGAAAGACGGCUCUGCUGUCACUUAUAGAUGACCUUGCGGUGCAUUAGUUAGUUGGUGGGGUAACGGCCUACCAAGACGAUGAUGCAUAGCCGACCAGAGAGGGUGAUCGGCCACAUUGGGACUGAGACACGGCCCAAACUCCUACGGGAGGCAGCAGGAGGGAAUCUUCCGCAAUGGGCGAAAGCCUGACGGAGCAAUGCCGCGUGAGUGAAGAAGGCCUUCGGGUCGUAAAACUCUGUUAUAAGAGAAGAACAAAUUGUAGAGUAACUGCUACAGUCUUGACGGUAUCUUAUCAGAAAGCCACGGCUAACUACGUGCCAGCCGCCGCGGUAA
rnacentral:rRNA from 1 species